rnacentral:rRNA from 1 species
UACGAAGGGGGCUAGCGUUGUUCGGAUUUACUGGACGUAAAGCGCACGUAGGCGGAUCGUUAAGUCGGGGGUGAAAUCCUGGAGCUCAACUCCAGAACUGCCUUCGAUACUGGCGAUCUUGAGUCCGGAAGAGGUGAGUGGAACUCCUAGUGUAGAGGUGGAAUUCGUAGAUAUUAGGAAGAACACCAGUGGCGAAGGCGGCUCACUGGUCCGGUACUGACGCUGAGGUGCGAAAGCGUGGGGAGCAAACAGG